CUUCACUGGGGCAUGAAUCAGCCACUCCAUGGAUACUGCGAGUCAUGGAAUGAAACACUGCAGCAUUGUUGGGCUGUGUUGGAAUUUCUUGCACUGGAGAUGAGGGGGAUAAUAACCGUAGAUGAAUCCAGGCAGGGUCUUGUCUCCAGGUGAACAAAUGGUGGGGCCUAAGCCAAGGGAAAAGAGAUUACAUCACAGAAGCUAUGAUGGUGCUGCAGGACCCAUGAAUACAUUACACCACCACAUAUAUGCACAGCAGAGAGGUUCAGAUCAGAGUCUGCAAACAACAGCGAUGGACGAGGCCAAAACACAUCGGAUCUUCAACUGUUUUAUGGUUGAAUGGCU